UUGUCUCAAAGAUUAAGCCAUGCAUGUCUCAGUACAAGCCAAAUUAAGGUGAAACCGCGAAAGGCUCAUUAAAUCAGUUAUGGUUCCUUAGAUCGUACCCACACUUACUUGGAUAACUGUGGUAAUUCUAGAGCUAAUACAUGCAAACAGAGCUCCGACCGGAGACGGGAGGAGCGCUUUUAUUAGAUCAAAACCAAUCGGCGGCGGGCUUGCCCGUCGUCGUUCAACCUGGUGAAUCUGAAUAACUUUGUGCUGAUCGCACGGUCUAGCACCGGCGACGCAUCUUUCAAAUGUCUGCCUUAUCAACUGUCGAUGGUAGGUUCUGCGCCUACCAUGGUUGUAACGGGUAACGGGGAAUCAGGGUUCGAUUCCGGAGAGGGAGCCUGAGAAACGGCUACCACAUCCAAGGAAGGCAGCAGGCGCGCAAAUUACCCACUCCCGGCACGGGGAGGUAGUGACGAAAAAUAACGAUACGGGACUCAUCCGAGGCCCCGUAAUCGGAAUGAGUACACUCUAAAUCCUUUAACGAGGAUCAAUUGGAGGGCAAGUCUGGUGCCAGCAGCCGCGGUAAUUCCAGCUCCAAUAGCGUAUAUUAAAGUUGUUGCGGUUAAAAAGCUCGUAGUCGAAUCUGUGUCCCGCGCCGCCGGUUCAUCGCUCGCGGUGUUUAACUGGCGUGUCGCGGGACGUCCUGCCGGUGGGCUUAGCUCCCGCAAGGGGGCGGCCCAACUUCAAAUCCCGCCGCGGUGCUCUUCGCUGAGUGUCGAGGUGGGCCGGCACGUUUACUUUGAACAAAUUAGAGUGCUUAAAGCAGGCUAAAAUCUUGCCUGAAUACUGUGUGCAUGGAAUAAUGGAAUAGGACCUCGGUUCUAUUUUGUUGGUUUUCGGAACCCCGAGGUAAUGAUUAAUAGGAACGGAUGGGGGCAUUCGUAUUGCGACGUUAGAGGUGAAAUUCUUGGAUCGUCGCAAGACGGACAGAAGCGAAAGCAUUUGCCAAAAACGUUUUCAUUGAUCAAGAACGAAAGUUAGAGGUUCGAAGGCGAUCAGAUACCGCCCUAGUUCUAACCAUAAACGAUGCCAGCUAGCGAUCCGCCGACGUUCCUCCGAUGACUCGGCGGGCAGCUUCCGGGAAACCAAAGCUUUUGGGUUCCGGGGGAAGUAUGGUUGCAAAGCUGAAACUUAAAGGAAUUGACGGAAGGGCACCACCAGGAGUGGAGCCUGCGGCUUAAUUUGACUCAACACGGGAAACCUCACCAGGCCCGGACACCGGAAGGAUUGACAGAUUGAGAGCUCUUUCUUGAUUCGGUGGGUGGUGGUGCAUGGCCGUUCUUAGUUGGUGGAGCGAUUUGUCUGGUUAAUUCCGAUAACGAACGAGACUCUGGCCUGCUAACUAGGCGUAUUUCCGACAUCUCGAAGGCCCGCCGGCCCGGNNNNNNNNNNNNNNNNNNNNNNNNNNNNNNNNNNNNNNNNNNGGUUUUUACUGUCGGCGUACAAACAAUUCUUCUUAGAGGGACAGGCGGCUUCUAGCCGCACGAGAUAGAGCAAUAACAGGUCUGUGAUGCCCUUAGAUGUUCUGGGCCGCACGCGCGCUACACUGAAGGAAUCAGCGUGUCCUCCCUGGCCGAGCGGCCCGGGUAACCCGCUGAACCUCCUUCGUGCUAGGGAUUGGGGCUUGCAAUUGUUCCCCAUGAACGAGGAAUUCCCAGUAAGCGCGAGUCAUAAGCUCGCGUUGAUUACUUCCCUGCCCUUUGUACACACCGCCCGUCGCUACUACCGAUUGAAUGAUUUAUUGAGGUCUUCGGACCGGCACGCGGUGGCGUUUCAACGUCGCCGAUGCUGCUGGAAAGAUGACCAAACUUGAUCAUUU
rnacentral:rRNA from 1 species